rnacentral:tRNA from 1 species
GCUAGUGUAGCUUAAUAUAAAGCAUGACACUGAAGAUGUUAAAAUGGGCCCUAAAAAGCCCCACAAGCA